rnacentral:rRNA from 1 species
ACCCGUUUAUAGACAAAAAAAAAAGAAGGAGGGGAGAACCAGAUGGUGCGCGGGAUGACGACGGCAGCACGGCAUGGACUCGCGGCGGCGGCCGCGGAGGUGUGGGGACCCUCGCGGGGGCCGAAGGGCAGAGGGUGCGCGCAACGGCGAGGGCAGGAGGGAGCAGCCCUGAGGUGCAAGGGGACGGCGGCCGCGGUGCGGCGGGCGUCAGUCCCCGAGCUCCAUGCUGGAUCCAAACAGGAGUAGGUCGCUAAGAGGAUCAGUUUAGGGGUGGCUGGAAGGGCUAAAAGCCCGCGUGCGGCAGAUCUAGGCGGCGGCUACGGCUACCUCUGCGGUUAGCUCCGGCUUCCCUUCUCGAGUCUCGGUGGUCCCUUACCGAGCGACGACUUCUAACGGCUCUUUAGGGUCCUUAACCCCCCAUUAGGUCCCUCCCUUGACGGCGGCAACGUAGUCCCGUUCCUCCAGUAGGAGCAGCUACUGUUACUGUCACCAGUCCUUCUACCACCCCCACGGUUCCACCUGCUCUUGCGCGGGGCGUAGCCCAACGCCAAGUUCUGGAUACUGCUGCGCGAGUUGAUGAUGUUCGUCAUACGCCACCUAAGGCCGAAGAGCCGCUAGUGAGAGUUCAGCAGCAUGGACUUCAGCCCCCACACGGCCUCCGACCACGAGCCCACGUCAGCCAGUCCCUCUCCCUCUCGUUUACACACGAUAGACAGAUCUCUUUGUCGUUUCUAUUUGACGGGUCGAUCCUAAAGCAACUUCAACUCCGUCCUGUCCACCGAAGUGUAACUGCUGCGGUUCGAGCUGGUGUUGGUAGGCGAGUUGGUCAGGAGUCUGAGCGGGUACUCGACAAUGUUCUUUGACUGCCUACGGUUCUCGCACCUUUUACCAAGUGCCGAAUUUCCCGCUUCCUUACAAGGCUAUCGACUGUUUCUCGUCCCCUUGAAAUGGCUCUAUCCUUCCGAAUUCAAGCCCCUUCCUCUACUACUCGUCUAGGUCUUCAAAAAACCGUCGUACGUCUUAUUCUUAGGUUUAAAGAAGAUGGACCACCUAAACCUGUUCGUCCCCGCAGAUUCCUUGAACAAAACCUCACUACGAUCCAGUGUCCGUCGCGUACUUAUGAAACCAGUACUACAACAAAUGAAACUGUGAAGUAUGAACUGACUCUUUAUACUAGACGGUGAACAAAAGAAGUGACCCUACUUAUUAGUACCGGUGGGACAAAACAAACCAUGGCCGAACGAAAGUCUAGAGUCACGACUCUCGAUAUGGACCGAUAAGUCUCGUAAAAACAGUACAUACUUCCCGACAAUGGGUCUGCGUUAGUAGUGACUCGUAAUGUUGCGAUAAGACCUACGCCAAUCUCUUCAUAAAAGGGUUCAAUUUGUGGCGGAAACAGACAUAGCGUAAUACUCUCUGCACCGUCUCUUGAACUUUCGUGUGCGCCUUAAGUUUUGUUAAUUCUCUCGUGACUUCUUUCAUUGUAUACCCAGAAACUUCGGGGGUCUCAAACUCCGACUAACCUUCUUCCAAUAACUCCUUGUACCUGAACGUCCUUUACUUACGGAGUCAAGGGAUGUACUCGUAGCCGUUAAUACCCGUGGACGAAUAGAAUUUCUGUUUAAGACCCGCCCAUACAGACAAAGUGUCGCACCCCUCAGACAACGAAGUAUGAUACUACCUAAACACAUGGGUUUUUGAAGAAACUUCGUUAAAAAGUCGUUUAUACUCUACUAUAACCUCUUGUUUAUGUUCUUUCUCAACGUUCGUCUACUUCUUAGAAGGGUAUCCUGAGGUAACUGACAUUGUUUCAAGAUGUACCUUCUCGUUGACCGGUUCCGGAUGUGUUAGUUGUACAAGUCCUUUAAAGUCCUUCUCAACUUUCGUUGUUACAUAACACUACCAUACGGUUCAUUUCAACUACCGGGUAAACAAUGAAAACUUCACUUUCUUACGAGUAUGUACCUUCUACCUUUCCUCUGCCUCUCGUCCUGAAUACUUCAAAUAAAAACAUUUCUUCCCGAGUAACAACUCACGCUUACACCAAAGAAAGUCAAGUGACCGUAUGAUACGUCUGUACGCAACAGACACAAAUUCAACGUACUGUACAAACUCUAGGGCAGUUCUAUACAGGAACUAGCGACCUUUUCUCUGAUAUUCUUUGACGUACGAAACCGUGUAAUAGGAUUACUCUACGAGGAACCACUGUGUCACCUCGCGGUACUAAUAAACAGAUGUGUCACGGCAGUCCAAGAGUUAAAUCCGAAAUAUAGACUCUCAUCCAUGGAACAACGAGACUUCAAUGACUCUCUUCGUCUUUCCCGAGAAGACCUACUACCAGUUGGACGAUCUCUGUCCGUCGGCUCCGAAGAGAGUAAGCUUCGACUACGUGGACUUUUACCGGUUCCGGAAAAAUCAAGAGUUAAAGGUCUCCCACUCUUCUUAAGGGACAGGUGUUUACGUUUCGUAGGACCGGCCGGUCGUUUCUUUCACCGUCUUUGACUAGGCCUACGACAUAAUGCCAGUUUAUUUCUUGUCCUAAAAGAUGCCAGUAGUAAACACGGUUGACUUUGAUUAUACUAAGUUCUCUGUAGCAGUCCAAGGGUAGAACUUUCAGGACUGUACCCUCACGGUCCUUCGUAAGUAGAUUACCUUCCCUAUAGAGGUUUGGACUGUAAACCUGGAGUAAAACCUUACCUACAAUCAGUGGUUGUAGUUGACGGAUUAGUUGGUUCCUACUACGGCUUAUUGAAAUACGUCCAUGUUCGUCUAGGGGUACAAAAGCCUUUAGUCACCCGAAUGUUGGGUUGCUACGUCCUAUUAGGUUACGAUUCUUGAGGAUGCGCUUCUCGUCCCAUCUUAUACAAGUAACGAGAUUACACCGUCAUCUUAAAAUCCCACCGCUGAGACUACAAAUCUAGGGUGCGUGUUACCUCCACUUCACCCCUCGUCUCUACGAAAAUCUCAAACACGUAGAAGCUGAAUCCCAUUGUUUGAAAUGUAUAAACUUCCGCCUUCAAGAGGUCCGUAUUUAGAACCUUAUCGUCGUCCCUUUUUUAUAUAGACUCUUAGUCGUAUAUUGCACCGUUUAGAUCCCUUCAUGAGGGAGGCAUGGCUUAAUCAACUACAUAGAUCUGUACAAAAUCGCAAUCUAAGUAGGCAUAGAACUGUUUAGAUUCUUUUGAUUAAACCCUGCCUCCAUUAUGAUGUCUCAUGCACCUAUGACCAAUUUUCCUUUUUCUCAUGCGCCUACGAUCGUAUGUUGUUUGUGUUGUCUGCUCAUCGGCUAUAACACUACCCGUGAAGUGUCUAGAAAAAUAAUACAACGACAACGACGGUCACGAUAGAGAAGACGAACGACCUACCCAACGGUUCGGGCUGGGCGGGACGUCGCUUACGGUGAUGUCGAAGAAAGAAGGGUCCCAACAGGUUAUGAUUUUAGACCGAGAGCAAACCACGAACCGCAGCCCCAGACACUAAAAACAAAGGAAGCCAACACUAGUUCGUACCAACGCCAAGGGAAGCUAGAACACCAGCGACACGGACGAGAGGAAAGAAACUACACGGACACUUAAACUCACCAAAGCCAAAAGUAAAGCCGGUUUC